rnacentral:lncRNA from 10 species
AGCCUGAACUUUCUCAUCCAACACCCGUUCAAGUCGGAGGAUGCUGAUUAAUUCAUGAUGGAAAGGUAUCAAUUUCACAGCCCAGACCUCUACAUUCUUGAAAUGCUCUUCUCAUGGGAGACAUUAAAUAAGCUUUGAAUUAACUGAGACCUCUGUGGAUUCUAUAACUCAAAGACCCAGGCUGACGGCUGGUGGAAUAGCUACCAUCUCAAACAUGGCGUGAUGCUGCAUCAGAGAGAAAAAUAAGCUCUUGCAUUGACAAUGAAAUGUCUACCCUGUAGUGACUUGUGCUUACUUCCACUCACAAGUGAUUGCCCAGAGCUACUUACCUGGCUCCAAUCUACCACUGGGACCUUGUAUUGAAGACAGCGUAACCCCCAAGAGGAAAGGAGCUUGGAGCCCUGAAUCAGAGUAGAAGACAGGCUGAAUGAAUACCAGCCUUGGACUGUUGUGUGAAUGAAAAACAAGUUUUGAGAUUUGUGUGGUUUAUUUAUUAUAGUUACUGUUAUUAUUAAAGUUUUUCACUGCUUUACUCUCA